rnacentral:lncRNA from 1 species
AUGCCAGGAAAUUCCCAACAUUUAGUUUUGGAGGAACCUCUGUACUGUUUUGCAUAUUGGCUACACCAGUUUACAAUCCCACUAAGUCAAAUCCCUUAUGAUUAUACAGUGGAAGUGAGAAAUAGAUUUAAGGGCCUAGAUCUAAUAGAUAGAGUGCCUGAUGAACUAUGGAAUGAGGUUCGUGACAUUGUACAGGAGACAGGGAGCAAGACCAUACCCAUGGAAAAGAACUGCAAAAAAGCAAAAUGGCUGUCUGAGGAGGCCUUACAAAUAGCUGUGAAAAGAAGAGAAGCGAAAAGCAAAGGAGAAAAGGAAAGAUAUAAACAUCUGACUGCAGAGUUCCAAAGAAUAGCAAGAAGAGAUAAGAAAGCCUUCUUCAGCGAUCAAUGCAAAGAAAUAGAGGAAAACAACAGAAUGGGAAAGACUAGAGAUCUCUUCAAGAAAAUUGGAGAUACCAAGGGAACAUUUCAUGCAAAGAUGGGCUCCAUAAAGGACAGAAGUGAUAUGGACCUAAGAGAAGCAGAAGAUAUUAAGAAGAGGUGGCAAGAAUACACAGAACUGUACAAAAAAGAUCUUCAUGACCCAGAUAAUCACGAUGGGGUGAUCACUCAUCUAGAGCCACACAUCCUGGAAUGUGAAGUCAAGUGGGCCUUAGAAAGAAUCACUAUGAACAAAGCUAGUGGAGAUGAUGGAAUUCCAGUUGAGCUAUUUCAAAUCCUGGAAGAUGAUGCUGUGAAAGUGCUGCACACAAUAUGCCAGCACAUUUGGAAAACUCAGCAGUGGCCACAGGACUGGAAAAGGUCAGUUUUCAUUCCAAUCCCAAAGAAAGGCAAUGCCAAAGAAUGCUCAAACUACCACACAAUUGCACUCAUCUCACACGCUAGUAAAGUAAUGCUCAAAAUUCUCCAAGCCAGGCUUCAGCAAUAUGUGAACUGUGAACUUACUGAUGUUCAAGCUGGUUUUAGAAAAGGCAGAGGAACCAGAAAUCAAAUUGCCAACAUCCACUGGAUCAUGGGAAAAGCAAGAGAGUUCCAGAAAAACAUCUAUUUCUGCUUUAUUGACUAUGCCAAAGCCUUUGACUGUGUGGAUCAUAAUAAGCUGUGGAAAAUUCUGAAGGGAUGGGAAUACCAGACCACCUGA